UUUUGCGGUGGAUUCGUUGAUCCUGGAUGAAGGUCUUCGUAAAAUGCCAAGUUGUACAGGUUGACGAUGCAGAAUUCAGUGGUGCACGAAUCAUAAGGAGGUCGAAGCCCUCAACGCUUCUUACCCUUUUUGUCUAACAUGGUUGGCA
rnacentral:rRNA from 13 species